UUUUCAUUUGUGUGGAAAUAAAUUCAGCCUAAAACAGAUAUUGGAUAGAAUUUGAAUCUUUACAUCAAUUAAUUUAUAGUUUCUCAUAUUGUGAUCAAAGUACUUGACUCGAACAAUAUAUGCAAUCCUGGAUAUCGUCCCUUUCAUCACUAAACUUUGAGAACUAUAACAAUGUGUUUCUUUCGUUUUACUCUCCAGGAAGAUAGAAAAAAAAUGUUUAAUUAAGUUGUUAUGUUUCUUUCAAAGUCUAUACACCAAGAAAUAGUGGACUGGUGGUCCUAUUUCUGGAAUCCAAUUAAGUUGGCAAAACAAAUAAGGUAGCACACAAAAUAAAUGUGUAAUGUGUUAUAUAUGUAAAUGUGAACUAUUCAUAGUAGUAAAUGUUUAUUUGCGUAAUUUGUGCUAUAUAUACCUCAUCUAAAUUAUUGAAUAGACACACAAAGCAAACAUCUCUUAAUUAGUUUUGAUCAUUUUUAGUGCAGAAAUGGGUUGUGUAAAACUUGUGGUUUUUAUGCUAUAUACCUUUGUCUGUCAACUUGCUUUCUCCUCAUCCUCACCUCAUUUGUGCCAUGAAGAUCAAAUGAAUUGUUGCUCAUGGAAUGGAGUUCAUUGUGACGAGACGACAGGGCAAGUGAUUGAGCUUGAUCUCCGUUGCAGCCAACUUCAAGGCAAGUUUCAUUCCAAUAGUAGCCUCUUUCAACUCUCCAAUCUCAAAAGGCUUGAUCUGUCUCAUAAUAAUUUCACCAGAUCACUCAUUUCACCUAAAUUUGGUAAGUUUUCAAGUUUGAGACAUCUUGAUUUGUCGCGUUCAAGUUUUACGGGUGUAAUCCCUUCUGAAAUCUCUCAUCUUUCUAAACUAUACGUUCUGCGUAUCUCGACAUAUUAUCCAUAUGGGCUUAGUCUUGGGCCUCACAAUUUUGAACCGCUCCUUAAGAACUUGACCCAAUUAAGAGAGCUCAACCUUUACGAUGUGAACCUCUCUUCCACCAUUCCUUCCAAUUUCUCUUCUCAUUUAACAUAUCUACGGCUUCCAUACACAGAGUUACGUGGGAUAUUGCCCGAAAGAGUUUUCCACCUCUCCGACUUAGAAUAUCUCGAGUUAUCAUUCAAUCCCCAGCUCACGGUUAGGUUUCCCACAACCAAAUGGAAUAGCAGUGCAUCACUCAUCAAGUUAUAUCUCAAUAAUGUGGAUUUUACUGGUAGGAUACCUGAAUCAUUUAGCCAUCUAACUGCACUUCAUGUGCUGGACAUGAGUUAUACUAAUCUGUCAGGGCCCACAUAGAGAGUUUGUACCUUGAUUAUAACCAUCUUGAAGGACCAAUUUCCCAGUUCUCGAUAUUUGAAAAGCUCAACGAGUUAUCACUUAGAAAUAACAACUUUGAUGGCCAACUUGAGUUCUUAUCCUCUAACAGAAGCUGGACGGAGCUUGAAAUAUUAGAUUUUUCGUCCAAUUACCUUACUGGUCCAAUUCCAUCCAACGUAAGUGGACUACAAAAUCUACAAUCACUCGACUUGUCAUCAAACCACUUGAAUGGGACUAUACCUUCCUGGAUAUUCUCCCUUCCUUCACUGACAGAGUUAAAGUUGAGUGAUAACACUUUGAGUGGAAAAAUUCAGGAGUUCAAGUCCAAAACAUUAUAUCUCGUUAGUCUAGAACAAAAUAAGCUGGAAGGUCCUAUUCCAACGUCACUCUUAAACCAGCAGUUCCUAAGAAUUCUUCUCCUUUCACACAAUAGCAUCAGUGGACAUAUUUCUUCAGCUAUCUGCAAUCUGAAAACAUUAAUACUACUAAAUUUGAGAAGCAAUAAUUUGGAGGGAAUAAUCCCACAAUGUUUGGGUGAGAUGAGUGAACUUAUGGUUUUGGAUUUAAGCAACAAUAGUCUUAGUGGGACAAUUAAUACAACUUUUAGUAUCGGAAACCCACUCUACAUCAUUUAAUUGGACUGGAAUAAGCUACAGGGGAAAGUCCCACUAUCUUUGAUCAAUUGUAAGAAAUUGGAACUUCUAGAUUUAAGUAACAAUGAGUUGAAUGACACGUUUCCAAAAUGGUUAGGAGACUUACCUAAUUUGCAGGUUUUAAACUUUAGAUCAAAUAAGUUCUAUGGACCUAUAAGGACUAACAACUUGUUUGCUAAAAUUCGAGUCAUAGAUCUCUCAUCCAAUAGAUUUAGUGGAAAUUUACCAGUGAGCUUUUUUGAGAAUUUUGAAGCCAUGAAAAUAAAUGAUGAGAACAAUGGAACCCGAAAGUAUGUAGCAGAUACAUAUUCUUAUUAUUACAAAAGUUCUUUGAUAGUGACAACGAAGGGACUGGAUAAUGAACUUCCUCAAGUUUCGACUACACAAAUAAUUAUCGAUCUCUCAAUGAAUAGAUUCAAAGGUCAGAUUCCAAGCAUUAUUGGAGAUCUCAUUGGACUACGUGUGUUGAACUUAUCACAUAAUGUCUUGGAAGGUCAUAUACCAGCAUCACUGCAGAAAUUAUCUGUACUUGAAUCAUUGGAUCUCUCAUGUAACAAAAUUGGCGGUGAAAUCCCACAACAACUUGCAUCCCUCACAUUUCUUGAAGUCUUAAAUCUCUCUCACAAUCAUCUUGUUGGGUGCAUCCCCAAAGGAAAACAAUUUGAUACGUUCGAGAACAAUUCAUACCUAGGAAAUGAUGGAUUACGAGGAUUGCCACCGUCAAGAGAUUGUGGUCGUAUUGAUAGGGUACGACAAUUGACAAUUCCACUUGAGCUAGAUCAAGAAGAAGAAGAUGAUGAUGAUUCACCAAUGAUCAGUUGGCAAGCAGUUCUCAUGGGUUACGGUUGUGGACUUGUUAUUGGACUAUCCGUAAUAUACAUAAUGUGGUCAACUCAAUAUCCAGCAUGGUUUUCCAGGAUGGAUGUAAAAUUGGAACACAUCAUUAGUACGAGAAUGAAAAAACACAAGAAAAGAUAUUAGUGUGCAGGAUUCAAGUUGUUGAGGAUGCAAUUAAAUGCCUUUAUCUUUCAUAGUUUGUGAUGUUCCCAUAAAAGUGUUUGUUAUCCUAUGAAUAAAGACAUGACUUUGAGACUCAAAUCAGAUUAUGUUUUCAUUUGUCUA